UGGGCGGAAGCCUGACGCAGCGACGCCGCGUGGGGGAUGACGGCCUUCGGGUUGUAAGCCUCUUUCGCCAUCGACGAAGCCCUUCGGGGUGACGGUAGGUGGAGAAGAAGCACCGGCCAACUACGUGCCAGCAGCCGCGGUAAU
rnacentral:rRNA from 1 species